rnacentral:rRNA from 1 species
AACGAACGCUGGCGGCAGGCUUAACACAUGCAAGUCGAGCGAAGCCUUCGGGCUUAGCGGCGGACGGGUGAGUAACGCGUGGGAACGUGCCCUUUGGUACGGAAUAGCCCCGGGAAACUGGGAGUAAUACCGUAUGUGGUCGAGAGACGAAAGAUUUAUCGCUAAAGGAUCGGCCCGCGUUGGAUUAGGUAGUUGGUGGGGUAAUGGCCUACCAAGCCGACGAUCCAUAGCUGGUUUGAGAGGAUGAUCAGCCACGCUGGGACUGAGACACGGCCCAGACUCCUACGGGAGGCAGCAGUGGGGAAUCUUAGACAAUGGGGGAAACCCUGAUCUAGCCAUGCCGCGUGAUCGAUGAAGGCCUUAGGGUUGUAAAGAUCUUUCAGUGGGGAAGAUAAUGACUGUACCCACAGAAGAAGCCCCGGCUAACUCCGUGCCAGCCGCCGCGGUAAUAC